rnacentral:rRNA from 1 species
AAUAUUGGGCAAUGGGCGAAAGCCUGACCCAGCGACGCCGCUUGAAGGAAUAAGGUAUUCGGAUUGUAAACUUCAGUAGGCAGGGAAGAAGAAAGUGCCGGUAACUGCAGAGUAAGCGACGUCUACCUACGUGUCAGCAGCCGCGGUAAUACGUAGGUGGCGAGCGUUAUCCGGAUUUAUUGGGUGUAAAGGGUGUGUAGGCGGGGUUGCAAGUCUGAUGUGAAAUUUAACGGCUUAACCGUUAAUGUGCAUUAGAAACUGUAACUCUUGAGAGUCGGAGGGGUAAACGGAAUUCCCGGUGUAGCGGUGAAAUGCGUAGAUAUCGGGAGGAAAACCAGUGGCGAAGGCGGUUUACUGGACGACUACUGACGCUGAGACACGAAAGCGUGGGGAGCAAACAGG